GGAGAAAAGCAGGGGAUCGCAAGACCUUGCGCUUUUGGAGCGGCCGAUGCCUGAUUAGCUUGUUGGUGAGGUAAAAGCUCACCAAGGCUCCGAUCAGUAGCUGGUCUGAGAGGACGACCAGCCACACUGGGACUGAGACACGGCCCAGACUCCUACGGGAGGCAGCAGUGGGGAAUUUUGGACAAUGGGGGCAACCCUGAUCCAGCCAUGCCGCGUGAGUGAAGAAGGCCUUCGGGUUGUAAAGCUCUUUCAGCCGGAACGAAACGGUCACGGUCAAUACCCGUGACUACUGACGGUACCGGAAGAAGAAGCACCGGCUAACUACGUGCCAGCAGCCGCGGUAAUACGUAGGGUGCGAGCGUUAAUCGGAAUUACUGGGCGUAAAGCGUGCGCAGGCGGCUUUGUAAGUCAGAUGUGAAAUCCCCGGGCUUAACCUGGGAACUGCGUUUGAAACUACAAAGCUAG
rnacentral:rRNA from 1 species